UUACUCGAUACGACGACUCGGCAUU
rnacentral:piRNA from 2 species